AUAGACCACUCGUACACUCCAGCUCCCCGCGUCCGCACUCACCUGACGACCGCUCGCCACGUUUUGGUAGCC
rnacentral:sRNA from 1 species